rnacentral:miRNA from 1 species
CACUUGACCAGAAGGAGCCCCUUCUGGUUGGUGAGGCAGCUGUAACUCAUUGGCCAGAAGGGAUUACUUCCAGUCAAUGAGGUACAGCUGCCUCAUCAAAAAGGGAUUCUUUCCGGUUGAUGUG